GAUGAACGCUGGCGGCGUGCUUAACACAUGCAAGUCGAACGAGAAGUGAAGACGGAAACCUUCGGGCGGAAGGCUUUAUUUCGAGUGGCGGACGGGUGAGUAACGCGUGGGUAACCUGCCUCAUACAGGGGGAUAACAGUUGGAAACGACUGUUAAUACCGCAUAAGACCACAGCACCGCAUGGUGCGGGGGUAAAAACUCCGGUGGUAUGAGAUGGACCCGCGUUCGAUUAGCCAGUUGGCGGGGUAACGGGCCAACACAGCGACGAUCGAUAGCCGAUCUGAGAGGAUGACCGGCGACAUCGGGAGUGAGACACGGUCCAAACUCCUACGGGAUGGAGCAGUGGGGAAUAGUGCACCAUGGGGGAAACCCUGAUGCAGCGACGCCGCGUGAGUGAAGAAGUAUUUCGGGAUGUAAAGCUCUAUUAGCAGGGAAGAAAAUGACGGUACCUGAGUAAGAAGCCCCGGCUAACUACGUG
rnacentral:rRNA from 1 species